rnacentral:rRNA from 1 species
AUUGAACGCUGGCGGCAGGCCUAACACAUGCAAGUCGAACGGUAACAGGAAGAAGCUUGCUUCUUUGCUGACGAGUGGCGGACGGGUGAGUAAUGUCUGGGAAACUGCCUGAUGGAGGGGGAUAACUACUGGAAACGGUAGCUAAUACCGCAUAACGUCGCAAGACCAAAGAGGGGGACCUUCGGGCCUCUUUCCAUCGGAUUUGCCCAGAUGGGAUUAGCUAGUAGGUGGGGUAACGGCUCACCUAGGCGACGAUCCCUAGCUGGUCUGAGAGGAUGACCAGCCACACUGGAACUGAGACACGGUCCAGACUCCUACGGGAGGCAGCAGUGGGGAAUAUUGCACAAUGGGCGCAAGCCUGAUGCAGCCAUGCCGCGUGUAUGAAGAAGGCCUUCGGGUUGUAAAGUACUUUCAGCGGGGAGGAAGGGAGUAAAGUUAAUACCUCUGCUCAUUGACGUUACCCGCAGAAGAAGCACCGGCUAACUCCGUG